UAGAGUUUCCUUCUGGCUCAGGAUGAACGCUAGCUACAGGCUUAACACAUGCAAGUCGAGGGGCAGCAUGUUGUGUGCUUGCACACAAUGAUGGCGACCGGCGCACGGGUGAGUAACGCGUAUCCAACCUUCCCAUGACUCCGGCUCAGCCCGCAGAAAGGCGGAUUACUCCUGGAUGGUUUCCGAAGAGGGCAUAUGAUUGGAAAUAAAGAUUGAAUCGGUCAUGGAUGGGGAUGCGUAUGAUUAGGCAGCAGGCGGGGUAACGGCCCACCAAAGACCGCGAUGUCUAGGGGAACUGAGAGGUUGGUCCCCCACAACUGGAACUGAGACACGGUCCAGACUCCUACGGGAGGCAGCAGUGAGGAGUAUUGGACAAUGGCCGGAAGGCUGAUCCAGCCAUGCCGCGUGAAGGAAUAAGGUCCUAUGGAUUGUAAACUUCUUUUGUACGAGAGCAAUAAGUGUCACGAGUGACACGAUGAGAGUAUCGUACGAAUAAGCAUCGGCUAACUCCGUGCCAGCAGCCGCGGUAAUACGGAGGAUGCGAGCGUUAUCCGGAUUUAUUGGGUUUAAAGGGUGCGUAGGCGGGAUUUUAAGUCAGCGGUGAAACGCAAGGGCUCAACCCUUGACCUGCCGUUGAAACUGGAGUUCUUGAAUGCGGAUGCUGUGGGAGGAAUGUGUGGUGUAGCGGUGAAAUGCAUAGAUAUCACACAGAACACCGAUUGCGAAGGCAUCUCACAAAUCCGUGAUUGACGCUGAGGGCACGAAAGUGUGGGGAUCAAACAGGAUUAGAUACCCUGGUAGUCCACACUGUAAACGAUGAUAACUCGCUGUCGGCGAUACACAGUCGGUGGCCAAGCGAAAGCGAUAAGUUAUCCACCUGGGGAGUACGACCGCAAGGUUGAAACUCAAAGGAAUUGACGGGGGCCCGCACAAGCGGAGGAACAUGUGGUUUAAUUCGAUGAUACGCGAGGAACCUUACCCGGGCUCGAGCGGCAAGUGAACGACACAGAGAUGUGAAGGUCCUUCGGGACACUUGUCGAGGUGCUGCAUGGUUGUCGUCAGCUCGUGCCGUGAGGUGUCGGCUUAAGUGCCAUAACGAGCGCAACCCUUGCCAUUAGUUACCAGCAUGUAAUGAUGGGGACUCUAGUGGGACUGCCACCGUAAGGUGUGAGGAGGGGGGGGAUGACGUCAAAUCAGCACGGCCCUUACGUCCGGGGCGACACACGUGUUACAAUGGUGGGUACAGAGGGCAGCUACCUGGUGACAGGAUGCAAAUCUCGAAAACCCAUCUCAGUUCGGAUCGGAGUCUGCAACUCGACUCCGUGAAGUUGGAUUCGCUAGUAAUCGCGCAUCAGCCAUGGCGCGGUGAAUACGUUCCCGGGCCUUGUACACACCGCCCGUCA
rnacentral:rRNA from 1 species